GUUCUAUUCAAAUGAUUCCACAAAGACAGGGUCACAUAACAUGGAAAAAAAAUAUUUAUUUCAACCGAAGACAUUUGGUAAUCUACAAGCCAACACUGGAUGUCAAUUCAUGAGGGAUGGAAGUGUACAAAAAAAAAAGCACAAAAAAAACCCAUCAGAUAUGUAAAACAAAAAGAAAAAUUAACAUUACUGAGCAGAGUGAAUUCCCUGAUGUUGAAAGUCAUUUGUGGUGAGCAUUGGCUGAGAGUAGAUUCAUGCUGACGUACCCUGGUCAAUACCACUUUGGCCAACACUCGCAUUGUAUUGCAAACUUCAUAUUGUUCACACACACACACACACACACUCUUGUGCUUUUCAGUUGUCACAAAACAUUGUAUGACAUUCUCAUUUAGACUUAGUAUUUGGGAAAACUUCUCCCCCCCCCCCCAAGUCCAGUACAUUUCUAAUAAUGGUGAAUAAAUAUUACCACAAUUAUUUAUCAGAUGGUGAAUUUUUUGGGGUUUGGGGGUUUGAACAUUCCAAUCAAUCUGAAAGAAACUAGAGUACAAAAAAAGUUACAAAAGACAAACAAUAAAUUAGAAUACCUCAGGUAGGUUGUGGCACACAAGGAAUAUGGUAUAUACAAACAAAGCACUUGAGGGAAGGACCGACAACAAUCAGUGUGAUACUUUUAUCAGAUGAGUUCGAGGCCCAGUGACUCUUCUUUCCUCAUCAAUACUGGUAUUAGUUUUAAUCCAAAUAAGUGAACCAAACCCCUAUUUCAUUAUUUACAUUUUCAACCAUGACAGGGGCAUUAAUUGAAAACAAAUUAUUAAUUUGAUAAAUUAAAGGACUUUUUGAAGACUUCAUUUUCGAUUUUGAAUAUUUUCUACAGCUUGUUAAAAUUCUUAAAAUAUCCUACCCUAAUCCAUAAACUACACCCUAUCCUACCCAUAGACUACCCCCUAUUCUACCUAAAUCCAUAAACUACAUUCUAGCCUACCCUAACCCAUAGAGACCACACCCUAUCCUAUGCUAAACCACAUCCUAUUCUACCCUAACCCAUACAAACUACACCCUAGCCUGCCCUAACCCAUACAGACUAUACCCUAUCCUACCCAUACAGACUACACCCUAUCCUACACCUAACCCAUAGAUUACACCCUAGCCUACCCUAACUCAUAGACUACACCCUAUCCUAUGCUACACCAGAGACUACAUUCUAUUCUACCCUAACCCAUACAAACUACACCCUAGCCUACCCUAACCCAUAGAGAUUACACCCUAGCCUACCCCAUAGAGACUAGACCCUAUCCUAUGCUAAACCAGAGACUACAUCCUAUUCUACCAUAACCCAUACAAACUACACCCUAGCCUACUCUAACCCAUAGCGACUACACCCUAUCCUACCACAAACCAUAGAGACUACACCCUAGCCUACCCCAUAGAGACUAGACCCUAUCCUAUGCUAAACCAGAGACUACAUCCUAUUCUACCAUAACCCAUACAAACUACACCCUAGCCUACUCUAACCCAUAGCGACUACACCCUAUCCUACCCCAAACCAUAGAGACUACACCCUAUCCUACCCCAAACCAUAGACUACACCAUAUAUCCUACCCCAAACCAGACUACACCCUAUAUUAGACCACACCCCAUCCUACCCCAACCCAUAGACUACACCAUAUAUCCUACCCCAAACCAUAGAGUACACCAUAUAUAUCCUACCCCAACCCAUAGACUACACCAUAUAUCCUACCCUAAACCAUAGACUACACCAUAUAUCCUACCCCAAACCAUAGACUACACCCUAUAUUAGACCACACCAUAUCCUACCCCAAACCAUUUACAACACCAGUGCAAUAUCAUACACACGUCAUGUUUAAAAUAAUGGAAAAUAUGCCUCGGAACCUGAACAAAAUGUCUUGGAGCUAAACAGUAGGAUGUCAACCUGUGUGUCAAUGGUAAUCAUACUGUCCUUUGUUUUGCACAAACAUUGGAGUUGUCUAGGCAUCUUCAAUGACCCCAAGUCAUUUCAUAGACAAAAGAUAACAUUUUCUUUGAUAAGUUAUUCUUUACUCUUAGAAUGUGCAUGAGUUCAUGAACUCGGCCACAUGGUCAAGCUUUUACAGACAACUUCGAGUUUGGGUUCGCCUCGAUGCCAGAUUGCAACAUUGAAUGCUUUAUAGAUUCUGUUAACCACACCAGUACCUACUCAUUAACCACCAGUAGCCAGCGCUGUACCACCAGUAGCCAGCGCUGUACCACCAGUAGCCAGCGCUGUACCACCAGUAGCCAGCGCUGUACCACCAGUAGCCAGCGCUGUACCACCAGUAGCCAGCGCUGUACCACCAGUAGCCAGCGCUGUACCACCAGUAGCCAGCACUGUACCACCAGUAGCCAGCACUGUAUCACAUAGCUAAAGGUCUUUACAUUUUACUGCACAGCAUAUACUCAUAUAGCCCAGGCUUAUUGAAAUCAAGUUUACCAAAACAUUUACAGUAGAAUGUUGAGUGAAAUGCCAGUUCAUGCCAUUUCAACAUCAGUUAUUGUUCUAUUGAACAAUUAUCAUGAAAAUAAAGACAAGGAAUGGGAACUGGAACGAUGUAAACAACAGCGAAGUAACAAUCACAUUUCCUAUUGGAGUGGAAUUCACUUGAGGCAGUCAAAAAAAAACAAAAAAAACUUAUUGUCAGCAGAAAAAAAUAUCAUUCCAUAUGCUCUACAGACAUUUUGGCACCCAAGGGCCAUAGCAAGCCACUUUUCACAAACGUGGUCACCCACCAUUCUGACCGCCAAACCAGAGAAAAAUAUAUAUAAAAAGAAAUAUGUUAAUAAUAAAAAUAAAACAAAAAUCUACAUUUUGUACUUGUAGGUUCCAGACCUUUAAACACUGAAUUGACAAAACCCCACAGCCCUCCCCCCAAAAAACUCACAUCAAAAAAUUAGAAUUUGAAGAGAAGAAGCAUUUUACACUUUGAACUUGCAGAGAUGAGGAUCAUGCUUUUUGCAUCUGGCUUAAGUUGGAAGGGUGAGGUACACUAAAACUGAAGCGCUGCUGUCCUUUUGACUGUCGUCCUCCGUGGGAGAUGGGCGGAUGAACAGAGGCAGAGGGGGGGAGCAGCCUCCUUCCAAUGACGUGACAAAAACUGUCCAUGUAUUUGUGGCGCGAGGAGAGUUGAGAGGGCUGAGGUGGAGAGGGCUGAGGCGGAGAGAAGGGGGGGGGGUCGAUAGUGGGCUCAUUGGGAGGAGCAAAGGAGGACAGACAGAGCGGAAGGACAGGAGGCGAACAUCAUCCCCUAGUCCAAUAUUGGGGAGGGAGGAUGAGGGAAGCAGUCACUGAAGGCAGACAUGGAGACCAGGAUGAAAAACAUCAACAUGAAGGAACCUAGAGGGAAGACAAACAGGCAAGGUUUAAACAACUGUCUGAAACCAAACAGUCUUCAGAUAAGUUAAAUGACC
ensembl:lncRNA